CCCUGCACUUAGUUUUGAAUUUUUCCCCUGUCCAAUAGUAAGGACACACACACAGAGAAGAACAACAAGAACAAGAAGAGAAUUGCAAUGAUGUGAAGUAAUGUAUAUGUUAAUUAGCUUGAAUUAGCUUGAUUGUGGUGAUUAUUUCACAAUGUACAUGUAUAUCAGAUCAUAAACUUGUAUAUCUUAAAUGAAUACAACUUUUAUUUGUCAAUUAUACCUCAUUCGAGCUGGAAAAGUAAUAAAAUAAUUCUGUUAGAAUCAACUGGCUAUGUAAAAUUUGCAAGAAGCAGUAUUAAAUAUUUUAUCAUCUGUAAAUUGUAUACUACAUAUUGUUUAUAUUGGUAAAAUUUGUAAUCAAU
rnacentral:lncRNA from 10 species